rnacentral:rRNA from 1 species
AUUGAACGCUGGCGGCAGGCCUAACACAUGCAAGUCGAACGAGUGGCGGACGGGUGAGUAAUGUCUGGGAAACUGCCCGAUGGAGGGGGAUAACUACUGGAAACGGUAGCUAAUACCGCAUACCAUCGGAUGUUCCCAUAUGGGUUUAGCUAGUAGGUGGGGUAAUGGCUCACUUAGGCGACGCUCCCUAGCGGGUCUGAGAGGAUGACCAGCAACACUGGAAGUGAGACACGGUCAAGACUCCUACGGGAGGCAGCAGUGGGGAAUAUUGCACAAUGGGCGCAAGCCUGAUGCAGCCAUGCCGCGUGUAUGAAGAAGGCCUUCGGGGUGUAAAGUACUUUCAGCGGGGAGGCGUUACCCGAAGAAGAAGCCCCGGCUAACUCCGUGCCAGCCGCCGCGGUAAUUC